GAUAGUUUACAGUCCCGGGGCCGGAGAUAGAGAAGAUGGGGGCACCGCGGAGGCCUAGAGGGAGCCCUGAAAGAGGGCGAUGCCAAUGGUGUUGAGCUGGUGUAGGAGCGGAGCAUGGGGCCGAACGGAGAACGUGGGGUCGACGGGACUGCGCGAUAUCUGCGGUCCCCGCAAAUGCAGACGAGGUUGGAGCCUCGCAGUCUCCUUCUUCCGCAGGAGGAUGCAAAUAAUGGGCACGGCCGGGUCCCGUGACAAGACGCGGUGGGUCCUCCGGGGCGAAAUUCCGGAUUUCCCUGGGUCUUCCGGUCGGAGCUGUGAUCAACUGUGCAGACAACACAGGAGCUAAAAACUUGUAUAUCAUCUCUGUGAAGGGAAUCAAGGGACGGCUGAACAGACUUCCUGCUGCUGGUGUUGGGGACAUGGUGAUGGCCACAGUUAAGAAAGGCAAACCAGAACUAAGG
rnacentral:lncRNA from 1 species